rnacentral:tRNA from 1 species
GCGCCUAUAGCUCAGUUGGAUAGAGCACAGGAUUCCUAAUCCUGGGGUCGCAGGUUCAAAUCCUGCUAGGCGCG